AAUGAAGGUAGCCCCAAAAGUAAUACUACUCUUCAGAGAUCCAACUGGCUUCGGCACCGCCAUCUUCGAAGCUCUUCAACCAAACCCUAAAUCCAACCUUCAAAAGCGACAAGAAUCGCUCGAUUUAUCCUUACAACAUUACGGAAUUAAAGAUCAAAAGGUUUCGGUUGAAGUCGUUCAUUUUCUCAAUGGAGCAAAUCUCGAGGUGUCUCUGUUACUACUGGAAAACUAUGAGCCUCCAACACUUGCUUGUGCACUCAAUGAAGUUCUGGCUUUGUUAGUAGGAGAUGGGUUGUCAAAUAUGCCCACAAUUGUAGCCCCUUUUGUUGUGGCUGCAUCUAAGCUUAAGAUGGAAAAUAGAACUUCUGUUUCAAUUGACAAUAGAUCAGUUUAUGGGUUGCAAGUAGGUGCCUCUAGUGACCUUACUAAAGCUUUGUGCACAAAUUUGCAAAGCCCUCCCCCAUCGUUGCAGAUUUGUAACGAACAGUUGGCCUGCCUACUUCAAUUGGUUCGAGUCCUGAAGAUGCCUACUUAUGUUAUAAUUGGCAAAAAAGGUCAAAAUUUGCAUCGUAAGACUUCGGAAGAGGAACACGAGGUGAUACAUGAGAUAGGACAGCAUUUGGCUAGCUUCUCAUCUCUUAGUUUUUCAGGAGAAAAGAUAGCCUGGGAUGCAACAAAGUCUUCGAAAGAAACUCAAGAGCCUUGGCGUGCAUUAUAUGGUUGAAUCUUAAUGCUGGCCAUAAUCAGCGUCUAACAUGGCGUCGUGUUAUUGAUUUCAGUAUGCUCCUAAGGUAGGAGUUCCAGCAGAUGUGUGGGUAAGCACAAUUGUGUGUGGUGUAUGAACCCAGAGAGACGCCAAUAUUUCCUCGAGGCAGACGAAGACGCCAAUGUAAAGCUUCUUUGUUCCAUUCUCAAUUUUCUUUCUUGUAUCCCAUGGCAUCUGUUGCUUAACCAGUAAAAUCCUCGAUGUUUUUUUAAUAUUAGUCAAAUAUAAACCAUACAACUCUUAAUUAUUCUUAUUAACCUUUAUAUUAUAUAAAUAGA
rnacentral:misc_RNA from 1 species